GAUGAACGCUGGCGGCGUGCCUAAUACAUGCAAGUCGAGCGAACGGACGAGAAGCUUGCUUCUCUGAUGUUAGCGGCGGACGGGUGAGUAACACGUGGAUAACCUACCUAUAAGACUGGGAUAACUUCGGGAAACCGUAGCUAAUACCGGAUAAUAUUUUGAACCGCAUGGUUCAAAAGUGAAAGACGGUCUUGCUGUCACUUAUAGAUGGAUCCGCGCUGCAUUAGCUAGUUGGUAAGGUAACGGCUUACCAAGGCAACGAUGCAUAGCCGACCUGAGAGAGUGAUCGGCCACACUGGAACUGAGCCACGGUCCAGACUCCUACGGGAGGCAGCAGUAGGGAAUCUUCCGCAAUAGGCGAAAGCCUGACGGAGCAACGCCGCGUGAGUGAUGAAGGUCUUCGGAUCGUAAAACUCUGUUAUUAGGGAAGAACAUAUGUGUAAGUAACUGUGCACAUCUUGACGGUACCUAAUCAGAAAGCCACGGCUAACUACGUG
rnacentral:rRNA from 1 species